AUGCUGAUGGAAGUUUGUUCCAAACAGCAGCUGAAGAAAGAAGUGGAGACACAUCUGAGCAAAAAUCAAGGAUGGGAAAGUUCAGAGAAUGCCAUGAUGACAGAAGUCCCUUGUAAAAUGAGAGCAGGAGAAACUGCAAACAGAAACAAGUCCAUUGUCAGCCUGGAGCCACCACUCCCCCUUCCAGAGGAGUCUACUUUAGCUCUGAAGCUGGAAAUAAAACAGCUCCAUGAAGGCCUGGAUUCUGGAUCACAGCCUGUAGCUCCACAGUCACACCUGCCCGUGGGAAUUUUAACACAGUGUUCCCCAGGUGCUGCAAUUGGGUCAUCAGCUCCACCAUGGGGCUCAGGAACAGGCAUGGCUCUGUGGGAGCUGGCAGCAGACACCACCCAGGGCACAGGAAUGGAAUGUUAUUUAUCAUCUCCAGGCAGACUCUGGAGCAGGAGCAGUUCUGUAUUAUGGCUUUUCUGCAGCACAGUUCCCUGUGGCCAGAAGCAAGGACAGGUGAGUCAGCAGUCUGUGUCCUUAAGGUGUGGGAAUCCUACCAUGCUAUUUGGGUGAUGAAAAUAGUCACAACAUGAAAUGUUGUCAGAGCAGCAAGGAUAGGUCUAACAGCACAGAUUUGGGGGAAAUUCUUUUUCUUUUGUUUCUGGAAACUGAGCUCUUUAUCUGCCUCUCCCACCUGUUCCAGCUGCACUCUCAGGAUUGUAUUUAGUUUGCAAGGUUCAAGGUUAGCCUGAAGUUGGGCUCAGACCAUGGCCAAGAACUGUAAACAUGGGAAAGGCAUGUAGUAUGCACCCACUGGGGAAAUGCCAUAUGGUGCUCUUCCUCCUCCCCUUCCUUGCUAGUGAAAGGCCACUGAUGUUUUUGCAAUGAACCCUCUAGGAGAGAACACGUAGCACCUAGACAAAACUGCCGCAGAGCAAGGCUGGAGUUUAUUCCUUGUCUGAAAUCCUUAACCACACGACUCAUGCGUGGGACUGGUGUUUGUGGAAUCACAGCUUCUUCUCAUCUCAGUGCUCAGGGUAUGUCUGCAUUGCUUAGUGGAGAUACCUGUUCUGGCUCCAAGUGAGUUAUCUCAGCACAUAGUACAGCUGUGUCACUGUGGUGCCCUCAGUCCUAUUCUCCACCAUUUCCAGACAGCAUGAACCUUCUGUUAACUGCUACAUUAUAUGGGCUCUGAAAAGGGCAAGAGAUAAAUGUUUUAAAUUUGAUGUAAGCGUAAACUCACAAAAGGCCAGUUUUUGUGUAAACCUUCCACAAAUUCAUCUAGAGCUGUAUUGCAGUGCGCAAUUUCCACCACC
rnacentral:lncRNA from 1 species